rnacentral:rRNA from 1 species
UACAGAGGGUGCAAGCGUUGUCCGGAUUUAUUGGGCGUAAAGAGCUCGUAGGCGGCCUGUCGCGUCGACCGUGAAAACCCGCAGCUCAACUGCGGGCUUGCGGUCGAUACGGGCAGGCUGGAGUUCGGUAGGGGAGACUGGAAUUCCUGGUGUAGCGGUGAAAUGCGCAGAUAUCAGGAGGAACACCGAUGGCGAAGGCAGGUCUCUGGGCCGCAACUGACGCUGAGGAGCGAAAGCAUGGGGAGCGAACAGG